rnacentral:rRNA from 1 species
CACGUAGGGCGCGAGCGUUGUCCGGAAUUAUUGGGCGUAAAGAGCUCGUAGGCGGCCUGUUGCGUCCGCUGUGAAAGCCCGGGGCUUAACCCCGGGUCGGCAGUGGAUACGGGCAGGCUAGAGGUAGGUAGGGGAGAAUGGAAUUCCCGGUGUAACGGUGGAAUGACGCGAGAUAUACGGUGAGGAACACCGGUGGCGAAGGCGGUUCUCUGGGCCUUACCUGACGCUGAGGAGCGAAAGCGUGGGGAGCGAACAGG